rnacentral:rRNA from 1 species
AACGAACGCUGGCGGCAUGCCUAACACAUGCAAGUCGAACGAGACCUUCGGGUCUAGUGGCGCACGGGUGCGUAACGCGUGGGAACCUGCCCUUAGGUUCGGAAUAACUCCCCGAAAGGGGUGCUAAUACCGGAUAAUGUCUUCGGACCAAAGAUUUAUCGCCUUUGGAUGGGCCCGCGUUGGAUUAGCUAGUUGGUAGGGUAAAAGCCUACCAAGGCGACGAUCCAUAGCUGGUCUGAGAGGAUGAUCAGCCACACUGGGACUGAGACACGGCCCAGACUCCUACGGGAGGCAGCAGUGGGGAAUAUUGGACAAUGGGCGAAAGCCUGAUCCAGCAAUGCCGCGGGAGUGAUGAAGGCCUUAGGGUUGUAAAGCCCUUUUACCCGGGAUGAUAAUGACAGUACCGGGAGAAUAAGCUCCGGCUAACUCCGUG